rnacentral:rRNA from 1 species
AUGAUAAACACCAUAGAUUUACUACUCAGGAAGAACUUCCACAUUGAAGACAACAUAUGUGAGUUAUGUAAUGAUGAACCUAGUGAACAUUUGAUGCAUCUAUUUUUUAGCUGUGACUUCAGCCAAAACUUUUGGAUUGCACUAGGCUUUUAAUGGAACACAGAUUAUGAUAUGACAUAAAUGCUGUUGGAUGGAAAGAAAAGAAGCAACAUAUAAUUUUACAAGGAAUUCUUAAUUGCUCGAUGUUGGAGCCUAUGGAAGCAUACAAACAAUAUCAUCUUUGAUAAUAAAACCAAAAGCUUAGCCUACUGCAUUGCCUGCUUUAAAGGACACUUUGACACCAUCAUCAAGAAGGGUAAACCAAGUCUGAAAGAUGGAAUGCAAUCUUGGCUAGAUUACUUGUAA